rnacentral:piRNA from 1 species
CCAUUCUGCUCUACGGGUGAGAG